CCUUUCGGGGUGGAUUAGUGGCGAACGGGUGAGUAACACGUGGGCAAUCUGCCCUGUACUUUGGGAUAAGCCUGGGAAACUGGGUCUAAUACCGGAUAUGACUGAGCCUCGCAUGGGGUUUGGUGGAAAGCUCCGGCGGUACAGGAUGAGCCCGCGGCCUAUCAGCUUGUUGGUGGGGUAAUGGCCUACCAAGGCGACGACGGGUAGCCGGCCUGAGAGGGUGACCGGCCACACUGGGACUGAGACACGGCCCAGACUCCUACGGGAGGCAGCAGUGGGGAAUAUUGCACAAUGGGCGCAAGCCUGAUGCAGCGACGCCGCGUGAGGGAUGACGGCCUUCGGGUUGUAAACCUCUUUCGCCAGGGACGAAGCGCAAGUGACGGUACCUGGAUAAGAAGCACCGGCUAACUACGUGCCAGCAGCCGCGGUAAUACGUAGGGUGCGAGCGUUGUCCGGAAUUAUUGGGCGUAAAGAGCUCGUAGGCGGUUUGUCGCGUCGUUCGUGAAAACUCCACGCUUAACGUGGAGCGUGCGGGCGAUACGGG
rnacentral:rRNA from 1 species